UUUAGUGUUUUGGUGUUAGUUUAAUUUGCCUAAAGGAAUUUCCUGCUUAUGUGCUUCAAUUUCAGUUUUAGGGUUCCUAAUUUGAGCACGAUUAGGGUUAGUUUUAAGGUUACCAAUUGGUUUAUUUUAAGGGUGUUUGAUAGCUUAUGAUGUGUAUGUGCAAUUGUGGUUGAUUGUUAUGAGAUUUGGUGUUUGAUUGUAGGAUGGAAAGUGAAGAAAUUAAGGGGAAAUGCUGUCCGUUUAUUUUCUUGUAAUUGGAGUGAGUAAAAGUGAGAUUUGGAAAGGUGAUUUUGUGGUGUGUUGGACUUAUUUUGCUUAGAACUACUUAGGUCCACUCUAAGGGUGUUAUAUGAGCUAAAUUUUACUUAAACUUAUACAUUUUCACAUGGUGAACGUGAUGACCAUUUUAAACAUGAUGUUUGGUCACACAAGUUAAGUUUUGAACUUCAAAUAUUUGCUCAUUUUCCUUCCAAAACAAAAAGGAGUUGUAUAGGUUUCCCGGCCAUGAAAAAUCUAUUUUAACAAGCGAGGUUUUAGGUGUGAAUUUAAGGUAUUUGUCUUCCUCUUGCAUAUGAUUUUAACCAAGACAUUUGUUACACAUUAUCUCCUUGCAUGAGUGUUAGUUUUGAGCCAAACAAAAGCUUUGCGAAAACAAGAAAAUGUUUCUUCAGCAUAUCCGGCCGUAUAUUCGGCCGUAUCUUGGCCGGAUUGAUAGGGGAAGAUGAAAAAAAAUUGGAAUGCUCACUGCCUUGAAUCCGGCCAGGACGUGGCAUCCGAUUCAUUUGUUUUCGAUGGAAUUUUCUAAAACCUUUUGAGUUUAGUUUUAUGUUUGGUUUGGGAAACUCUUAGUUACUCAUAUUCUUUGGUCUAAAUGUACUCUUUUCACUCCAAAAAUCAUAUUUAUACAUUGUACUAGUAGGUAUUCGAAUUUUCUUUGUUUCACCUAAAAUUUUGAUGGUAGAAUCGUAAUGUGUUCUCUUGGUUACUCUUAGGGUUCCUUGGUGAUUAAGGGUGUUAUCCGGAAGGAAACUUUGGACGUUAUUUUUGCUUAAAUAGGAGGUGCGAACGAGGAUGUGAGACUUGUAUAAACUAGCAUAGUCUAGUUUGUGAAAAUUUUUGCGAUUGUACUCGCGCUAGCGCUUGAAUAGGGUUGAAUGUAUUGGGCACAAAGCACUUUUGUUAUAUUUGGGACUGUAUUACUGGUUGAGAUAGAAAUAAAUGUAAGUAUACGUUUCGAGUU